GAUGAACGCUGGCGGCGUGCCUAAUACAUGCAAGUCGAGCGAACAGACGAGGAGCUUGCUCCUUUGACGUUAGCGGCGGACGGGUGAGUAACACGUGGAUAACCUACCUAUAAGACUGGGAUAACUUCGGGAAACCGGAGCUAAUACCGGAUAACAUGUUGAACCGCAUGGUUCAACAGUGAAAGACGGUCUUGCUGUCACUUAUAGAUGGAUCCGCGCCGCAUUAGCUAGUUGGUAAGGUAACGGCUUACCAAGGCAACGAUGCGUAGCCGACCUGAGAGGGUGAUCGGCCACACUGGAACUGAGACACGGUCCAGACUCCUACGGGAGGCAGCAGUAGGGAAUCUUCCGCAAUGGGCGAAAGCCUGACGGAGCAACGCCGCGUGAGUGAAGAAGGUCUUCGGAUCGUAAAGCUCUGUUAUUAGGGAAGAACAAAUGUGUAAGUAACUAUGCACGUCUUGACGGUACCUAAUCAGAAAGCCACGGCUAACUACGUG
rnacentral:rRNA from 1 species